rnacentral:sRNA from 1 species
CCUGCUCUGGGGCAAGGUUGGGGGAGCUGCCCCUUGUCCUGCACCUCAGCAGCUACAGGGCUCUGGGUGAAGGAGGGCCUGCGGAUUGUGAGCUCAGUGCUUUUAGGCUUGAGCUGCCCUUGGGGAUCCCCCCUGGAGGCAGAGCUGGACCUUGGGGAGGGACCCUGUGGGGGACGUCCUUCUAUGGCCGCUUCAGGCACUUCUUGGAUAUCAUCGACCCUCGCACACUCUUCGUCACUGAGAGACGUCUCAGAGAGGCUGUGCAGCUGCUGGAGGACUAUAAGCAUGGGACCCUGCGCCCGGGGGUCACCAAUGAACAGCUCUGGAGUGCACAGAAAAUCAAGCAGGCUAUUCUACAUCCGGACACCAAUGAGAAGAUCUUCAUGCCAUUUAGAAUGUCAGGUUAUAUUCCUUUUGGGACGCCAAUUGCCCUGCUGGAGACGGCGCUGACGCGAGUGGUCCUGCCCAUGCCCAUCCUGGUGCUACCCCCGAUCGUCAUGUCCAUGCUGGAGAAAUUGAAACAUCCCAAUUAGAGCCGGAGAUAGCCCAGGCCACGAGCAGCCGGACAGUGGUGUACAACAAGGGGUUGUGAGUGUGGUCAGCGGCCUGGGGACGGAGCACUGUGCAGCCGGGGAGCUGAGGGGCAGGGCCGUAGACUCACGGCUGCACCUGCAGGGAGCAGCACGCCAACCCCAGCAGUCCUGGGCCCCCUGGGAGAGUGCUCAACCUACAGUGGAGGGAGACUGACCCAUUCACAUUUUAACAUAGGCAAGAGGAGUUCUAACACAUUUCGUACAAAAAAAUAAUCAAGUGCAUUUCUGGGCCUUAUGUGGGGUUGUCAAAACUCCACUCAGCACAAUUAUGUGUGAAGCUGAAAAAUUGUAGAGUGCCCAUGGGGUAGAAGUAGAAUCCUUUUAUACUUUGGUUCCUUUUUUAUUUUUAUUUUUUAUCAGAAUCAAAUCUGAGCCUUAGUUUCAGCUGACCAGAAGUGGCAGGAGGACAGGUGGAGGCGAGCCAGAUUAGGCCUGGAGUUGGGCUGGUUUGGUGGCCAGGCUGGUAAAUUUAGGAUAUUACAAUGGCCAGCCCAGAUGGCUCCCUGGGCUGGCAUGGGGAGGGGAAAGAAGGUGGUCUGCACCCCACAGGAUGAACUAGCCAUGACUAGGGUCCUCAGGAAGUGGCCCAGGGAAUCAGGGAGCACUGGAGGCCUCUGCAAGAUUCUGUGGGCAGCUGGCUCUGAAUGUAGCCAGCCCACAUCCAUUCCAGAGCUGCAGAACCAGUCCCUCUGAGUGAAGUCCAGUGACCCUGGAGCUAGGGUCCCCCUUCGUGGAGCUCUAACUGAUUCAGGGCCCCUGAAGUGACCCCAGCUCCAGGCAGGAAACCCCGAGAAGGAAUGGUGCUUGGCAGGAACCAUGGACCUGCACUUGGCCUCUUCAGGAAGAUCCUCCUUCCAGGCCCCAGGCUGGAUGCUGGGUUCUGGGGCUGAGAGUGGGGCUAGACUGGGCUGGCUGCCUUCUGCGGAGCUUCUCCAGCCACCAAGGCUGCCUGCCCCAUCCCAUCCCUUUCUAAGCAGGAAGGUCUCAUGCCUGAGAAUGCCUAGGCCAGCUCCUUAGACAACUAUCAGAGAAGCAGCAUCAACCUAGGAGCAGUGGGCCCUGGCUCUGGCACUAAAUGGCAGUGAGAUGUCAGACAAAUUCAUUCCCUUCUCUCAGCCUCCACUCCCUGUCUGAAACCAGAAGACUGGAUCAAGGGGUUCCCACUGGCUCCUCCAGCAAGACCUCGUCUUUGCUUGUCCUGCUCAGAUGCUGGUCAUCCUGGGCAUGUCCCCAGUGUGGACUCUGGACUGGGAAGGGGGCAGGCCCCUUUGGACCUGCAGUUGGCCUCAGCAGAAGGCCUUGCCUUCUGUAUGUGACUCCAUAUCCCGGGAGCAGUUGACCUUUGCCAAACACUUUACAGUUCUGGAGGAGGAGGUAACAUAGAUGCCUGGGCCUGAUGGUGGGGCCAUACCCAUGUGUCGCCUCUCACUCUGGCAGCCUCAGAGGCCCCUUGCUGCUGGCUCCCAUCUCCUUCCCAUUUGCAGACCAGGAAGGACGAGCAAGCUGUACAAAGGGAAGCAGAGCCCGGGGUGGGUGUGAGCAGGGUGACCCCUCAUCUGAAAGGCCCAAACCAGGGGGAAGCACCAGCCUCAGUGCAGCCCCCUCCUGACCCCACCUAGAAUGGAAGCCUCCACCUGCAGCCCCAGGCCUCCCUCCCCCGGGGUCUCCACCUCAGGGGAGACUUAGGCCAGAGGUGAACAUUCAUGUGUAGGAAGAGGCCGCUGCAGGGUGGCAUCUUAGGGCAGGGGAAGUGUGCUGAGGUGGGUCUUCCAUGGGCAUGGCCGUUGCCUCUCUGCCAGCCGCUGGUGCCCACCAGCUGGCUCUGCAGCACAUUGCCCUGAGGGGCCUGCCACUCUCCUGAGGAGCAGCCCACCUGCUGCCCGUGAGGAGGGGGAGAAGGGUUAGACAAGCCUGGAGGACAAAACAGCGGGAGUGUGGGGGUGCCAUGGUGUUGGAGGGGCAGGCCUUUUUGAGCCAAUCCCACCAUAAUGUGAAUAUGCCAGUGACUGCUGCGCUGUGCUGGUCUCUAGGCCUGAACUAGGUGCUGGCAUGUCUGGGUCGUCUUUUGAAAAGCUCACUUCAAGCUUACCCUGCUCCUACCUAUCAUAAGGUCUUAUUCUUGUGCACUUUAUCUUGGGACCAAAACUGCCUACCCACCCCUUCCCGCCCUCCCCCUGCCAGAGGCCUGGUGCCCUGGCCCAGUCUGUGGCCUCAGCAUCUCAUAACUCAUUUGCUUUGUCUCCCAGAUGAUUUCCGUCAUGCUCCCAAAUGCAGCUUCAGGUGAGCCGAGGGGUCUGCUCCUGUGGCGGUGCAGUGGCAAAGGAUCCAGAUAGCCUAGGGUGAGGGUGACGGAGGGACAGUGGGCUAUGCCACUAGGCCCUGGUCUGGCUUUGGAAAGACCUGUGAGGGGAAACCUUCACCCAGCACCCAUGCCCCACUCUGCUGAGGCCAGAGGAGGGGAGGCCUGAGGGGCAGAUUGGUUCAUGCCUGGGGUGGAGGCUAAGCCUGGACACACAGUCAGGGCGGGGCUGGCCAGCUGUGCCAGAACACAACCCACGCCUGCAAUGGUUCUGCAUCCCUGGUGUCCCUGCCUGGCCCUCCUCUGGUCACUUCAAACAUUCCCUCAGGCUUGGGGAUGCCCUUCUUCCAUUUCCAGACAGCAGUGUGAGGGUGCAGGGACCAAGAUGUCAAGCUGGCCGUGGAGUCAAGCUGGCCGACGGACCCCUUUCACCUGGUUAUGAGCCGACUUCUUUGGUGUUCUGGCCUCUGGCCUGGGAGAAGGGCAGGAGCCUAGAGGAGGAAAAAGGCUGGUGGACAGACCCAGGGUGGUCGACAGACCCAGGGUGGUCUUCAAGCCUGGCCCAGUGAGAGUGAGGCCCCCGCACGCAAGCCUCAGCCACUCCCAGGGGCCUUUGCAGUGUCUUUUUAACCUCAGAAAAUUUCUCAAUCUAUGUGAUUUAUGUAAUACUAAUGAGCUUUGGGCAAUAAAUACGGGAUUUAAAGCA